rnacentral:rRNA from 1 species
UACGAAGGGUGCAAACGUUGCUCGGAAUUAUUGGGCGUAAAGAGCUCGUAGGCGGUUCGUCGCGUCGGCUGUGAAAACCCGGGGCUCAACUCCGGAUCUGCGGUGGGUACGGGCAGACUAGAGUGAUGUAGGGGAGACUGGAAUUCCUGGUGUAGCGGUGAAAUGCGCAGAUAUCAGGAGGAACACCGAUGGCGAAGGCAGGUCUCUGGGCAUUAACUGACGCUGAGGAGCGAAAGCAUGGGGAGCGAACAGG